rnacentral:tRNA from 1 species
GGGCAACUAGCUCAGCUGGUUAGAGCAGGGGCCUCUUAAGCCCAAGGUCCCGGGUUCGAGUCCCGGGUUGCCUACCA